AGAACAUGAAGCUGGUUCACAGAGGGAAAAGCCCCACAGCUGGGCAUCGCCGGAUCUAUGAAGGUUGUGUCAGGAGACUGUCCCUGAAGAGGAAGUUUAAAGAACUGCUCACAGUGUGGCAGCUGGCUUCAUCAGAGCAAGGGAGCGAGAGAGCAAGUGAGCAGGAGCAGGAUGGAAGCAGAUCUUUCUGUGACCUGAUCUCGGAAGUAACGUCCCAUCGCUUUUGCUGUCCUCUCUUCAUUAGAAGCAAGCCCCCAGGUCCAGCCCACACUCAAGGGGCACAGAUCACACAGGCAUGAUGAGGGUCCCUGAGGGCCCCACAGGCUCCUAUCACACACAGUAUGCUCAUUUUUAUGAGUUGUUACAAGGACAAGAGAUGUGUUGCAUACCUGCUUUAAUAAAUCAAAA
ensembl:lncRNA